AUGUUAUUAAUAAAAGAUAUUUGCGAUUUACAAUAAAUUUAUAAUAUUCAAUCUCGUGAUAACUGUUUAAAUUUCAAUAAUAUGAAGUGGAGAAUUUUUUCUACUUCAAAUUCUCAUAAUCCAUCAAUCAAUCACAGUAUAGGUUCUUCUUCUUCGAAAGUAAAGCAACAGAUUCGCGGCGAAUGAUGCUGCUCUGGUGCACCAGCAACAAUUGCAAAUAUACUAACUACGAAUUUCAAAUUUCUCAAUGAAGAAAUUAUGAAGAAUUCAACUCUGCCUAUCCAGCCGGAAGGGGAAUCAAUUGUUAAUAAAAUUAUCGACGAAAUGUCAACAGUAAGUAUUAUUGAUAAAUAUUUGAAAUUUUGUCAAAUAAUAUUAGCUGCUGACAUAUUCAUAAUCCAACAAGUUUCUGUUGAUAAAGUUACGACAAAAUUAGCAACAAAAACAAAAUCUGUUGAUUAUAACUCGAAAAUACCAACUAAAUUUUCGAUUGACUUUUUGUCACUAAUUACAGAAUUACCGAUAGAAAAAUAGCCGUUGCUGUUACAAUUGGUUUGCCAACUAGUUGUGUGAGAAAAGCAUAAAGUCUAUCAAUGGAUUAUCCACCAUCAAUGCUCUCAAUAAUUCAUGAUCCAAGCCGGACAUCAUUUCGUUGAUGCCUACAGUAAUCUUUAGCUGAUAGUCCAUUGAACAAUUACAAAUUUCAUCACUAAACCCGUCACAAAAGCAAAUUAUUUGGUAGCCGCUAGCAGAACGAAAACGGAAGAAUUUGGUUACCUCUAUCUGUUUUGUUGCUAUUAGUUAUCCUGAUAUAGAAACUUUCAAUUAAAACCAGAUAAGAUCUACACCUAUAUUUCAACUCUGAUCAGUUUUGACUAAUUUUAGCCAGUUUUGGCCGUAUCCUUGCAGAAAAAUACGUUAUGGGCUUCAGUUGGUUGAAAAAUUACAAAAAAGCAAACCCACCGGUGGGGGAACCUUCAAGUGCAGCGGUUCUGCCGGUCCUCUUUCGCGACUGAGAUUCUUUCUUCAGUUAAUUUUCGCAGAAAAGGACAGUAAAUACAAUGAUAAAAAAAUCACGUAAAACAGGAAUUGAGAAUGGACACAUCGGAGGAGUUUUAGCUACAGCGGCUCUGCUGCACUUUGCUCGCGAUUUUCAACUCACCCGCCGUCUCUUUUGCUUUGAUUUGACCAUAGAGGUACUCGGAAUCGAAUUCUGAGCAGGUAGAAGAAAUUUUUACAUUUUUUAUCGGUCGACGGUGGCUCUGGUGCAGCGAUAGUCGAUUUCUUUCUCUGAUGUCUGAUUUUUCUUCUCUGGCGGGGGUUGGCGGUUAGAGUUUCGAUUUCUGUGUUAUGCGAGAUAUUUAUAUUCAUCCUGCAUUAAUUUGAACCGUCAAUCGCGAUCAAUUUCGUUUGUCCGAUCACGUCUAAGGAGAAAAUGAAUAUGCACUGUCCAUCGCAAUUUGAUCUCGACCGUCUGAUCGCAUUUAAGGGAGAAAUAAAUUCAGGCUGUUCACGUGUGCGGAAUUGACCUUGGGCCAUCCAAUCGCGGGGUGUGCGAAUCGCUUGCGUGACAUCCCAUGUGGCACCUACAUCAGCGUGUCUUACCAUGUAAUGUGCUCUGGUUUGUCGGGACUGCUGACUGAGUGGUCUUACGUGAUAUAAUUUUUUUUAUUUGCACUUUAACCAUUUGUUUUUAAUUUUUCUUUCAAAAAUAACAUCCAAACCUAAAUUUUUAUUCAUUUCUCCU
rnacentral:lncRNA from 1 species